rnacentral:rRNA from 1 species
AGAACGAACGCUGGCGGCAUGCCUAAUACAUGCAAGUCGAACGAACACUUCGGUGUUAGUGGCGCACGGGUGCGUAACGCGUGGGAAUCUGCCCUUGGGUUCGGAAUAACAGUUGGAAACGACUGCUAAUACCGGAUGAUAUCGAAAGAUCAAAGAUUUAUCGCCCAGGGAUGAGCCCGCGUAGGAUUAGCUAGUUGGUGAGGUAAAGGCUCACCAAGGCGACGAUCCUUAGCUGGUCUGAGAGGAUGAUCAGCCACACUGGGACUGAGACACGGCCCAGACCUCCGUACGGGAGGCAGCAGUAGGGAAUAGUUGGACAAGUGGG